rnacentral:rRNA from 1 species
GUAGUCUCGCACAGAUGCAUAUCAAUAAGCGGAGGAAAAGAAACUAACAAGGAUUCCCCUAGUAACGGCGAGUGAAGCGGGAAGAGCUCAAAUUUGAAAUCUUAAAGGGUUUCCCUUUAUGAAUUGUAGUUUAAAGAAGUGUUUUCUGUUGAGGUUUUGGUAAAAGUUCUUUGGAAUAGGACAUCAUAGAGGGUGAGAAUCCCCGCUAUUUGACCUUUACCUUCAACUUUGUGAUACACUUUCAAAGAGUCGGAUUGUUUGGGAAUGCAGUCCAAAAUGGGUGGUAAAUUUCAUCUAAAGCUAAAUAUUGGCGAGAGACCGAUAGCGAACAAGUACCGUGAGGGAAAGAUGAAAAGAACUUUGAAAAGAGAGUUAAACAGUACGUGAAAUUGUCAAAAGGGAAGCGUUUGACACCAGUGUUGUUUUUCUGAAAAUCAAUUAAAGAACUGUUUAUGCUAAGCUGUUUAGACUUUAUCAGCUAUCUGUUUAGUUUUGAGCUUUUCUUUAAUGCACUUUUCAGUUAACAAGUCAACAUCAAUUUCUUUUGCUGUAAAAAGGCUUGAGGAAGGUGGCUUGAGAUUCGUCUUAAGUGUUUAUAGCCUCUUGCCUAUGCAGUCGGAGAGAUUGAGGUCUGCAGCGUAGAUCCUUCGGGGCUAAAUGCAUUUGUGCUAAGUUAUAGCAUUUUAUAGACAACUUGUUGACUAUGAUUUGUCUUGUAGCUUACUCGCUUAUGUUAUUUUACCUACGCUUAGGAUGUUGACAGCAGUAUAGACUGU